UGGGGAAUAUUGGACAAUGGGCGAAAGCCUGAUCCAGCCAUGCCGCGUGUGUGAAGAAGGUCUUCGGAUUGUAAAGCACUUUAAGUUGGGAGGAAGGGCAUUAACCUAAUACGUUAGUGUUUUGACGUUACCGACAGAAUAAGCACCGGCUAACUCUGUGCCGGCAGCCGCGGUAAUACAGAGGGUGCAAGCGUUAAUCGGAAUUACUGGGCGUAAAGCGCGCGUAGGUGGUUUGUUAAGUUGGAUGUGAAAUCCCCGGGCUCAACCUGGGAACUGCAUUCAAAACUGACUGACUAGAGUAUGGUAGAGGGUGGUGGAAUUUCCUGUGUAGCGGUGAAAUGCGUAGAUAUAGGAAGGAACACCAGUGGCGAAGGCGACCACCCGGACUAAUACUGACACUGAGGUGCGAAAGCGUGGGGAGCAAACA
rnacentral:rRNA from 1 species